rnacentral:rRNA from 1 species
AUGGCAACAUAUUUUCUGACUAUUUUUGCUGCAAGUGCCUGGGCGGAGAAGAGGCUAAACAAAAUAAGGAGAAAAUUUUUGUGGAACACAGAAGAGGAAGGAAAUGGGGGAAAAUGCCUAGUCAAUUGGAAAGUUGUGUGUGCACCCAAACAAAAUGGUGGACUGGGUAUCAAGGACAUUGGGUGUUUUGGGAAAUCGCUGAGGUUAAGAUGGUUGUGGAAUGCUUGGCAGGCGGAGGACAAACCUUGGAAAGGGACACUUGUUCCCUGUGACAUGGUCGAUAGACAAUUGUUUGCUGCUUGCACCACGAUUACCAUCGGUGAUGGUUCCAUAGCCCUUUUUUGGAAGGAUAAAUGGCUGCUGAAUCAGGCCCCAAAGGAGAUGGCCCCAAGGAUGUUUUCCCUAGCGCGACGGAAAAAUCUAACAGUAAAAGAGGCCCUUGCUGAAGGGAGAUGGAUGAAGGGGCUACAACGGGUUGUAUCUUCAGAGGACAUAGAUCAGUUCAUAAAUCUUUGGGAGAUGGUCCAAAAUGUGCAGCUAACGACUGAAAGAGACGGCAUCAAAUGGAACCUAACCAGUGACGGGAACUACACUGCAAAAUCGGCGUAUCAUGCUCAGUUCCUUGCACGGAUUCCUCAACCGAGUUUGGAGCUGGUUUGGUGUGCCAAGGCUGAACCGAAAGUAAAAUUUUACAUGUGGCUGCUCCUAAGGAAUCGUAACUAG